rnacentral:rRNA from 1 species
CCUACGGGGGGCAGCAGUGAGGAAUAUUGGUCAAUGGACGCAAGUCUGACCCAGCCAUGCCGCGUGCAGGAAGAAGGCCCUAUGAGUUGUAAACUGCUUUUGUACGAGGGUAAACGCAGAUACGCGUACCUGUCUGAAAGUAUCGUACGAAUAAGGAUCGGCUCACUCCGUGCCAGCAGCCGCGGGAAUACGGAGGAUUCAAGCGUUAUCCGGAUUUAUUGGGGUUAAAGGGUGCGUAGGCGGUAGGAUAAGUUAGAGGUGAAAUCCCGAGGCUCAACUUCGGAAUUGCCUUUGAUACUGGUCGGCUUGAGAGUAGUUGAGGUAGGCGGAAUGUAUGGUGUAGCGGUGAAAUGCGUAGAGAUCAUACAGAACACCGAUUGCGAAGGCAGCUUAC